UUAACUCAUCCUGUGACAGUAAAACAGGAUGGUGUGACAGAGGAUGUGUUGGUUUCAGUAAUGCUCCUUACUGCACGAUAGCAUGUGAAGAAGGAAGAUGGGGUUUUAAUUGUUCCGAAACAUGCAGCAAUCAAUGCUUUAACUCUACAUGUGAUAGAAUAACUGGACUUUGUGACAAAGGAUGCAUUGAAUAUAGUGAUCCCCCGUAUUGUACUAAAGCAUGUGGAUCAGGUACCUGGGGAUUAAACUGUACCAAGACAUGCAGCAAUUAUUGUCUUAUCUCUUCAUGUGACAGAGUAACUGGACUGUGUGACAUAGGAUGUAUUGGAUACAGGGAUCCCCCGCUAUGUA
rnacentral:sRNA from 1 species